GAUGAACGCUGGCGGCGUGCUUAACACAUGCAAGUCGAGCGAAGCACUUGAACAGAUUUCUUCGGAAUGAAGUUCCUGUGACUGAGCGGCGGACGGGUGAGUAACGCGUGGGUAACCUGCCUCAUACAGGGGGAUAACAGUUAGAAAUGACUGCUAAUACCGCAUAAGCGCACGGUAUCGCAUGAUACCGUGUGAAAAACUGAGGUGGUAUGAGAUGGACCCGCGUUAGAUUAGCCAGUUGGCGGGGUAACGGCCCACCAAAGCGACGAUCUAUAGCCGGCCUGAGAGGGCGACCGGCCACAUUGGGACUGAGACACGGCCCAA
rnacentral:rRNA from 1 species